ensembl:snRNA U6 U6 spliceosomal RNA
GCCCCUGUGCUUGCUUGGCCAGGGCUGAAAUUGGAACAAUGCGGAGAAGAUUAGCAUGCCCCCUGUGCAAGGACGACGCACAAACUCAUGGAGGUUCCUGUCGUUUCA